CGAUGAUGAUGAUGAUGAUGACGAUGAUGAGAUGACAAUCAUUAUGAUGAAAGAGAAGGACCAAAGGAAAGAAAACAGGAAUGAGAGUGUUCCUAGUAAUGGAAAAGGAGAUUCCAUUCCCUUACCUGUGAAGUGCGGAUGGGUGUGUGGUUGCUGAGGUGCUGUCCAGCUUGGACAUCUAGGAAUUGUAUGAGCACCUUUGAUUGCCUUGCAUGCAGAAACAACUCUGAACCCAGCAGUGUUACUUAGAUUUCACAGAAAAGGGAGGCAGAGAGGAAGAUGUUAGUCAAGACAAGACCAGAACAAAACAAGCGGCCCUAUGUCUAAGUGUUGCUGACCACACUCCAGAAGCCAGAAUUUCUGCAAACUGAUCUUCAGCCCCAGUUCCAUACCCACAGACAUGGACUCCAUAUCCUCAGCAAAGCACAACAGGGGAAUAAUAAUAGCUCUGUCACGUUUAAUUUUCAAAGCAAAACUUUCUCCAUUUAGAAAAUGAGAAAAUUUCAACUCAGGGAGUUUCAGAAACUUUCCCAGGGUAUCGCAAAUGAAAAACAGUAGAGCCAGCAUUUGAACUCAGGCUGCCGGACUCCUUUACUGUGUGUUCGAAUCCACGCAGUGCUGCAAGACUUGACUAAUUCACCCUGAACACCCAUAACUGUCAGACGUCAGAGUCCAUUAAGAAGCUGGGAAUCAAUUAAUUAACAAUUGAUUAGAACUGUUACAAUGUAUUUAGGAUGCAUUUCUGUAUAGGGCUGAGCGUACAGAAAUUAGCCAGAUGUGGUACUUGGUUUCCAGGAACUAUUUACAGUAAAAAAGCAAACACUUAUGAAAUGCUUAUGAUGUUUUACAUGUAUUAAUUUUUUUAAAUAAUUGAACAACUCUGUGAGAGAGACAGUAUUAUGUCCCAAUUUUGGAAGAAGAGGAAACUAAGAGGUUAAUAACUUGCUCAAAGUCACAAAGCUGGUAAU
rnacentral:lncRNA from 1 species